rnacentral:tRNA from 1 species
GGGCCCGUAGCUCAGUGGUAUAGCGCUGGCUUUGCAAGCCAGAGGCCGCGGGUUCGAAUCCCGCCGGGUCCA